AGCGAACGCUGGCGGCAGGCCUAACACAUGCAAGUCGAACGAACUCUUCGGAGUUAGUGGCGGACGGGUGAGUAACACGUGGGAACGUGCCUUUAGGUUCGGAAUAACUCAGGGAAACUUGUGCUAAUACCGAAUGUGCCCUUCGGGGGAAAGAUUUAUCGCCUUUAGAGCGGCCCGCGUCUGAUUAGCUAGUUGGUGAGGUAAAGGCUCACCAAGGCGACGAUUAGUAGCUGGUCUGAGAGGAUGAUCAGCCACAUUGGGACUGAGACACGGCCCAAACUCCUACGGGAGGCAGCAGUGGGGAAUCUUGCGCAAUGGGCGAAAGCCUGACGCAGCCAUGCCGCGUGAAUGAUGAAGGUCUUAGGAUUGUAAAAUUCUUUCACCGGGGACGAUAAUGACGGUACCCGGAGAAGAAGCCCCGGCUAACUUCGUG
rnacentral:rRNA from 1 species